rnacentral:lncRNA from 1 species
AGGGCUUCUUAGAGUUUCAUAAGGCUUAGGGUUGGGGGUUUAUCCCUAAGGUUUAGGGUUUAGGUUUCUUAGGGUUUGAGUUGAACAUUUAAGGUCUCCUAGGUUUUUUUGGGUCAUUCAGGGUGUAGGGUUUAGUGUUUUAGGUUUAGGGUUUUUCUAGAAUAGAGUUUAGGUUUGUUAGGUUUAAGAUUUUUUAGGUUUAGAGUUUUUAAAGUUUUUUUUGUUGUUUUUUAAUGUUUAUAUUUUCUUAGGAUUUAGGAUUUCUUAGAGUUUCAUUGGGCUUAAGGUUGGGGGUUUAUCCCUAAGGUUUAGGGUUUAGGUUUCUUAGGGUUUGAGUUGAACAUUUAAGGUCUCCUAGGUUUUUUUGGGUCAUUCAGGGUGUAGGGUUUAGUGUUUUAGGUUUAGGGUUUUUCUAGAAUAGAGUUUAGGUUUGUUAGGUUUAAGAUUUUUUAGAGGUUUUCUAGGGUUAGAGUUUAUAAAAAUAAAUUUAUUGUUUUUUAGGGUUUUGGGUUUCUUAGUCCUUUUUGGGUUUAGGGUUUGGGG